rnacentral:rRNA from 1 species
UACGUAGGGUGCAAGCGUUAAUCGGAAUUACUGGGCGUAAAGCGUGCGCAGGCGGUUUGUAAGUUUGUCGUGAAAUCCCCGGGCUCAACCUGGGAAUGGCGAUGAAGACUGCAAGGCUAGAAUCUGGCAGAGGGGGGUAGAAUUCCACGUGUAGCAGUGAAAUGCGUAGAGAUGUGGAGGAACACCGAUGGCGAAGGGCAGCCCCCUGGGUCAAGAUUGACGCUCAUGCACGAAAGGCGUGGG